rnacentral:rRNA from 1 species
GGGGUGCUCGAGUGGCAAACGGGUGAGUAACACGUGAGUAACCUGCCCUUGACUUUGGGAUAACUUCAGGAAACUGGGGCUAAUACCGGAUAGGAGCUCCUGCUGCAUGGUGGGGGUUGGAAAGUUUCGGCGGUUGGGGAUGGACUCGCGGCUUAUCAGCUUGUUGGUGGGGUAGUGGCUUACCAAGGCUUUGACGGGUAGCCGGCCUGAGAGGGUGACCGGCCACAUUGGGACUGAGAUACGGCCCAG